GUUUUCAAAGCAGCCUUGGAAGAAGCGGAAUUUCAAAGGAGGGAAUAUCUCCGGAAACAAGAACCUCAUUUCUUGGAAUACAUCUUCUGGCAUGUGGAAGAAGACUGCACAGUCAUGCUGGUUUGCAAGGUGGCAAACGUUAA